rnacentral:rRNA from 1 species
GAUGAACGCUGGCGGCGUGCCUAAUACAUGCCAGUCGAACGAACGGACGCGGAGCUUGCUUCUCUGACGUUAGCCGCGGACGGGUGAGUCACACGUGUAUACUCUACUUAUAAUUGUGGUAUCAUUUCGGGACACCGGCGCUUAUACCGUAGAAUAUUUUGAACCGCAUGGUUGAAUAGUGAAAGACGGCCUUGCUGGCACGUCUAGAUGGUUCCGCGCUUCAUUAGCUAGUUGUUAAGGUAACGGCCUACCAAGGCAACGAUGCAUAGGCGAGCUGAGAGGGUGAUCGGCCACACGGGAACUGAGACAGGGUCCAGACUCCUACGGGAGGCAGCAGUAGGGAAUCUUCGGCAAUGGGCGAAAGCCUGACGGAGCAGCGGCGCGUGAGUGAUGAAGGUCUUCGGAUCGUAAAACUCUGUUAUUAGGGAAGAACAUAUGUGUAAGUAACUGUGCACAUCGUGACGGUACCUAAUCAGAAAGCCCCGGCUAACUACGUG